rnacentral:rRNA from 1 species
AUCUAAAUUAACUUUCAAAACAUUUAUAUAAUUAUUUAUCUUAGUAUAGGUGAUAGAACGGAUAAAAUCUUAGGCACAAUAGAGAGAGUACCGUGAGGGAACGUUGAAAGAUACCAUCCUGUAAGCAAUAAAAAGCAAAGAUUAAACCUUCUACCUUUUGCAUAAUGAUUUAGCCAGUCUACACGGACAAAAAGAAUUAAAGCCCGUCUUCCCGAAAUUGAGUGAGCUAUUGUAGAACAGUUAUCAGAACGAACUCGUCUAUGUAGCAAAAUAGUGAGAUGAUUUUACAAUAGGGGUGAAAAGCCUAUCGAACUUAAUGAUAGCUGGUUAUCCAAAAAACGAAUUUUAGUUCAACUUUAAAUUUAACUCAAGUACUAACAGACUAAAUUUAAAUUUAAAUGUUAAUCAAAAGGGGGACAACUCUUUUGACAUGUGAACAAACUUACUUAGUGGGUAAUGAUAUUUACACAAAACAUUGUAGGCCUAAAAGCAGCCACCAAUUAAGAAAGCGUUAAAGCUCAAACUAUUAUGUCAUUUAAUACCAAUAGUCUAUCAAAACCCCUAAUCUAAUAUUGGAUAAUUCUAUUAAUAUUUAGAAGAUAUAAUGCUAAUAUGAGUAACAUGAAUAGAUUCUCCUUGCAUAAGCAUAAAUAUGACCGGAACAACCGCUUACACUUAAUCAACUAAAUAACUAUAACCACAUACAAGCAUUCUAUUACCAACAUUGUUAACCCAACUCAGGCAUGCAUAUAAAGGAAAGAUUAAAAGGAAUAAAAGGAACUCGGCAAACAAAACCCCGCCUGUUUACCAAAAACAUCACCUCUAGCAUUUACCAGUAUUAGAGGCACUGCCUGCCCGGUGAGUUAUGACUUUAACGGCCGCGGUAUCCUGACCGUGCAAAGGUAGCAUAAUCACUUGUCUCUUAAUUGGAGACUGGUAUGAAUGGCAUAACGAGGGUUU